GAAGCAACAAUUGCAAGACCACAGAGAGUUCAGCAUCAUGAGAGGAGCCUCGGUUUGUGUGGCAAGGACACUUAUACUGAGGACAAUACAAAAUUGUUAAGAUCUUUAUUAAAAUGAAUGAAAGAAUAAUAAACAAUAUAAAACACAGAGUCACAAAGAAGUAAUAC